rnacentral:rRNA from 1 species
GUGCCAGCAGCCGCGGUAAUACGUAGGGAGCAAGCGUUGUCCGGAAUCAUUGGGCGUAAAGCGCGCGUAGGUGGCUCCGUAAGUCCGCUGUGAAAGUCAAAGGCUCAACCUUUGAAAGCCGGUGGACACUGUGGAGCUAGAGUCCGGAAGAGGCGAGUGGAAUUCCUGGUGUAGCGGUGGAAUGCGCAGAUAUCAGGAGGAACACCAAUAGCGAAGGCAGCUCGCUGGGACGGUACUGACACUGAGGCGCGAAAGCGUGGGGAGCGAACAGGAUUAGAAACCCCUGUAGUCC